AUUGAACGCUGGCGGCAGGCCUAACACAUGCAAGUCGAACGAGUGGCGGACGGGUGAGUAAUGUCUGGGAAACUGCCUGAUGGAGGGGGCUAACUACUGGAAACGGUAGCUAAUACCGCAUACCAUCGGAUGUGCCCAGAUGGGAUUAGCUAGUAGGGGGGGUAAAGGCUCACCUAGGCGACGAUCCCUAGCUGGUCUGAGAGGAUGACCAGCCACACGUGAACUGAGACACGGUCCAGACUCCGCCGGGAGGCAGCAGUGGGUAAUAUGGCACGAUGGGCGCAAGCCUGAUACAGCCAUGCCGCGUGUAUGAAGAAGGCCUGCGGGUUGUAAAGUACUUUCAGCGGGGAGGCGUUACCCGCAGAAUAAGCACCGGCUAACUACGUGCCAGCAGCCGCGGUAAUUC
rnacentral:rRNA from 1 species